UAAGGGGUUGGUAAAAUGCUUCUGAA
rnacentral:piRNA from 1 species